UAUGGCCAUAUAACGUUGAAACACCGGUUGCCGUACGAUCACCGAAGUUAAGAAACGUCGAGCCUGGUCAGUACCUAGAUGGGUGACCGUUUUGGAAUACUG